rnacentral:rRNA from 1 species
AGAGUUUGAUCAUGGCUCAGGAUGAACGCUAGCGGCAGGCUUAAUACAUGCAAGUCGAGGGGGUAACAUGGGGUAGCAAUACCUGAUGACGACCGGCAAACGGGUGCGGAACACGUACGCAACUUUCCCAAAACUGGUGAAUAGCCCUCCGAAAGGAGGAUUAAUACACCGUAACAUAAUAGAGUGGCAUCGCCUUUAUAUUAUAGCUCCGGCGGUUUUGGAUGGGCGUGCGCCUGAUUAGGUAGUUGGUGUGGUAACGGCUCACCAAGCCUACGAUCAGUAAUUGGUGUGAGAGCACGACCAGUCACACGGGCACUGAGACACGGGCCCGACUCCUACGGGAGGCAGCAGUAAGGAAUAUUGGUCAAUGGACGAAAGUCUGAACCAGCCAUGCCGCGUGAAGGAUGAAGGCCCUCUGGGUUGUAAACUUCUUUUAUAGGGGACGAAAAAAGGGAAUUCCUUCCCACUUGACGGUACCCUAGGAAUAAGCACCGGCUAACUCCGUGCCAGCAGCCGCGGUAAUACGGAGGGUGCAAGCGUUAUCCGGAUUCACUGGGUUUAAAGGGUGCGUAGGUGGGCAGUUAAGUCAGUGGUGAAAUCUCCGGGCUUAACCCGGAAACUGCCAUUGAUACUAUCUGUCUUGAAUAUCCUGGAGGUGAGCGGAAUAUGUCAUGUAGCGGUGAAAUGCUUAGAUAUGACAUAGAACACCGAUUGCGAAGGCAGCUCGCUACGGGAUUAUUGACGCUGAGGCACGAAAGCGUGGGGAUCAAACAGGAUUAGAUACCCUGGUAGUCCACGCCCUAAACGAUGGAUACUCGACAUCAGCGAUACACUGUUGGUGUCUGAGCGAAAGCAUUAAGUAUCCCACCUGGGAAGUACGACCGCAAGGUUGAAACUCAAAGGAAUUGACGG